rnacentral:rRNA from 1 species
GACGAACGCUGGCGGCGUGCUUAACACAUGCAAGUCGAACGGAAAGGCCUUUUCGGAGGUACUCGAGUGGCGAACGGGUGAGUAACACGUGGGUGAUCUGCCCUGCACUCUGGGAUAAGCCUGGGAAACUGGGUCUAAUACCGGAUAGGACCGCACUUUAGUGUGUGUGGUGGAAAGUUUUUUCGGUGUAGGAUGAGCCCGCGGCCUAUCAGCUUGUUGGUGGGGUAAUGGCCUACCAAGGCGGCGACGGGUAGCCGGACUGAGAGGUUGGUCGGCCACAUUGGGACUGAGAGACGGCACAGACUCCUACGGGAGGCAGCAGUGGGGAAUAUUGCACAAUGGGCGCAAGCCUGAUGCAGCGACGCCGCGUGGGGGAUGACGGCCUUCGGGUUGUAAACUCCUUUCGCCAGGGACGAAGCGUUUUGUGACGGUACCUGGAGAAGAAGCACCGGCUAACUACGUG